CCGCAUAAGCGCACGAGGAGACAUCUCCUUGUGUGAAAAACUCCGGUGGUACAGGAUGGGCCCGCGUCUGAUUAGCUGGUUGGCAGGGUAACGGCCUACCAAGGCAACGAUCAGUAGCCGGUCUGAGAGGAUGAACGGCCACAUUGGAACUGAGACACGGUCCAAACUCCUACGGGAGGCAGCAGUGGGGAAUAUUGCACAAUGGGGGAAACCCUGAUGCAGCAACGCCGCGUGAGUGAAGAAGUAUUUCGGUAUGUAAAGCUCUAUCAGCAGGGAAGAUAAUGACGGUACCUGACUAAGAAGCUCCGGCUAAAUACGUGCCAGCAGCCGCGGUAAUACGUAUGGAGCAAGCGUUAUCCGGAUUUACUGGGUGUAAAGGGUGCGUAGGUGGCAGUGCAAGUCAGAUGUGAAAGGCCGGGGCUCAACCCCGGAGCUGCAUUUGAAACUGCUCGGCUAGAGUACAGGAGAGGCAGGCGGAAUUCCUAGUGUAGCGGUGAAAUGCGUAGAUAUUAGGAGGAACACCAGUGGCGAAGGCGGCCUGCUGGACUGUUACUGACACUGAGGCACGAAAGCGUGGGGAGCAAACAGGAUUAGAUACCCUGGUAGUCCACGCCGU
rnacentral:rRNA from 1 species